rnacentral:rRNA from 1 species
AUUGAACGCUGGCGGCAGGCCUAACACAUGCAAGUCGAGCGGAUGAAGGGAGCUUGCUCCUGGAUUCAGCGGCGGACGGGUGAGUAAUGCCUAGGAAUCUGCCUGGUAGUGGGGGAUAACGUCCGGAAACGGGCGCUAAUACCGCAUACGUCCUGAGGGAGAAAGUGGGGGAUCUUCGGACCUCACGCUAUCAGAUGAGCCUAGGUCGGAUUAGCUAGUUGGUGGGGUAAAGGCCUACCAAGGCGACGAUCCGUAACUGGUCUGAGAGGAUGAUCAGUCACCUUGAACUUAGGCACGGGUCCAGCUUCCAAGGGGAGGAGCCAUUGGGAAUAUUGGACAAUGGGCGAAAGCCUGAUCCAGCCAUGCCGCGUGUGUGAAGAAGGUCUUCGGAUUGUAAAGCACUUUAAGUUGGGAGGAAGGGCAGUAAGUUAAUACCUUGCUGUUUUGACGUUACCAACAGAAUAAGCACCGGCUAACUUCGUG